GACGGAGGAUGCAAGGGUUAUCCGGAAUCACUGGGCGUAAAGCGUCUGUAGGUGGUUCGAAAAGUCCACUGUUAAAAAUUGAAGCUUAACUUCAAAGAUGCCGUGGAAACUUUCAAACUAGAGUGUGGUAGGGGUAGAGGGAAUUUCCAGUGGAGCGGUGAAAUGCGUAGAUAUUGGAAAGACCACCGAUGGCGAAGGCACUCUACUGGGCCAUUACUGACACUGAGAGACGAAAGCUAGGGGAGCAAACAGG
rnacentral:rRNA from 1 species